UGCAGAUAUUCGCACAAGCAGUCACUUUCAUAAUGGACUGUAAUCAUCAAAUCAAAAGUCUGUGAGAUGGUUCAAGUAUUACAAAACAAAAGAGAAUAGAAGUCUACCUCCAGGAUGAACUGAGAUUUUAUUAUGCCUUUCGAAUUUUGAUUCUAGGUAAUGGGACACUGAUUGGAGCAUCAGCAAAUGUGGUUUGUGCAGGAAUUGCAGAGCAGCAUGGAUAUGGAUUCUCUUUCAUGGAAUUUUUCAGGCUGGGCUUUCCAAUGAUGGUUGUCUCCUGCAUGGUGGGGAUGUGUUACCUCCUUGUUGCUCAUGUCGUGAUGGGAUGGAAUUAGUAGAUAUACAAUGUAUGAAGACUAAGGGAAACUUGACCCAUCAUCAAUGUCAGUAGAAAACUGCCACAAAACCACUCUUUGGAGAAAAAAAGGUCUGCUCCUGUGGAUACAGCAGGACAAGUAGAAGGAGAGUAAAUCUGAAUGGGCAGAUGGAAGAUACUUAGCUCUGUACACCAUUUUUGUUCUUCAGCAAAUGAAAAAAAUGUUCAUGUCUGCAAUAAAAGAAACAAUGAAAGUGCCA